rnacentral:lncRNA from 1 species
GAACUUAUAGUACAGUUAUAUAGCAUGUAUAUAUUAUAGGGAAAACAGAUGGGUGGUGAUGCUUUUGAUAUGGAGGUAUGAUCCAAUGCAGUGCAGGCUUUUAUUUGGUAAGGGAAUUCAGCAAAAGGCCUCAAAGAGAAGCUGGUGUUUAAAGGAAGAGUAAAAGUUUGCAACAUGACUAAGGGAGGAAGAGCAGGUGCAGAACCACAGAAGUAGAAAGCACAUUGGAUUCUCAGGAGUCAUUGGCAGUUCUGAACGGCUGGAACAGAGACUUUGGAGAUCACAGGAGAGGAGACUAGUGAGUCAGUCUAGAGCCAGAGAUCAUAAAAAGCCUUUUUUUUUUUGGUCUUUUUAGGGCUGCAUGUGCAGCAUAUGGAAGUUCUCAGGCUAGGGGUUGAAUUGGAGCUGUAGCUGCUGGCCUAUGCCACACCUAUGGCAACACCGGAUCUGAGCCGUGUCUGCAAACUACACCACAGCUCAAGGCCAUGCUGGAUCCCUGACCCACUGAGCGAGGCCAGGGAUCAAACCUGUAUCCUCAUGGAUACGAGUCAGAUUUGUUUUUUCUGAGCCGUGACAGGAACUCCUAAAAAGCCGUGUUUAUUAUCAUGACUCAUUUGUGGUUUUCUUCGUAGUGUUUUCCCAGGCAGUUCUUUAUUUUUGUCGUCCACCACUUCCUCUUCCUGUCCUUGUUAUCUAGGUAUUAGUGUCUCUCAGAGUUCUGCUUUCAAUCUUUGAUUUUCUUCUCUUAUGUAUUUAUACUUCUUCCCAGACCCAGUCAUCCACUCCUACAGCCUUUAUUACCACUCAAAUGCUGAUCUUUCUCCCAUGACUAUCUUAGGAUCAACCAACCCUUCUCUCUCUCACUCUCUUUUUUUUUUUUUUUUUUGUCUUUUUAGGGCCGCACCUGAGGUGCAAGUAAGUUCCCAGGCUCAGGGUCAAAUUGGAGCUGUAGCUGCCAGCCACAGCUAUAGCCACAGCAAUGCAGGAUCCAAGCUGAGUCUGUGACCUACAUCACAGCUCAUGGCAAUGCCAGAUCCUUAACCCACUCAGCAAGGCCAGGGAUGGAACCUAUGCCCUCGUGGAUACUAGUUGGAUUCUUCGUGAACCACCGAGCCACAUUGGGAACUCCAUAUGAACCCUUCUCUUGACUUGAUAUUUUCAUCUGACCUCUGUAAACCUUCUCCAUUUUAUUCUUCAGAUCCUUCAAACCUAAUAUGCCUAAAAGAAUGUCACUGUUGGCUCCCUACCCCACAAAAAGUCUCACAUAUGUGGACCAGAUAGAAGGAAAAAAUAGAAUUUGGUUUUAUAAUGUACUUUUAAUUAUUAAGGUAUUUCAGAGCACUUUACUAUGUGAUAGAUAACUCAAAUAUGUGUUGUCUAGAGGUUGUGAUGGCAAAUGGAAAAGCAUUAUGUACUGAAAAAGAAAUUAAAUCUGGCUGUGACUCUUAGUGAGGGAUGAAGGCUAUAACAGAUCCAUAAUUAAGACGUUUUGCCUACCUGUUGCUUUUCUGAAAAGUUCUAUGGAAUUAUCUCAGU